rnacentral:snRNA from 1 species
GUGCUCACUUCAGCAGCACAUAUACAAAAUCCGAUACAGAGAAGAUUAGCAUGGCCCCUGCACAAGAAUGACACACAAAUUUAUGAAGCAUUCCAUGUUUUU